rfam:Klebsiella pneumoniae IS39, WGS project CBWT01000000 data, contig: c368
CUUACCGGAGAUAGUUAUGGACCCCGAUCCCACUCCUCAUCCUCGAUGGAGCAACCUUUCUUUCCGGUAAGCCUGUUUAACACUGCUUUACCGGAAAGCGUAAAGCAGUGACGUCCU